UAUGCAGGACACAUCUACUGCAGAAAUCCUGUCUGAUGUCUGAGGCCGACUCGGAGUCAGCGAUGCUGCUGAGUGAAAGGUGCUGAAAAGAAGAUGAACACUGACUGGUUUUAAGGAGGAGGAGGAGAAAGCGAAGGAGGAGGACAAAGAGGAGGAGGAGGAAAAGGAGAAGGACAAAGAGGAGGAGGAGAAAGCAGCGGAGGCAGGCAGCUACUGAAGGAACCAGUCGGCUCACUCUGACGCCUUCCUGGUUGCUUUCCGUCCGCAGGCCAGAGGUUUGAAUCGGAGCGCUGCAGGUUAACAGGAGGAUCUGCCACAGCCUGAGUGAACCGGAGGGAGCGAGCAGAGGGAGGGCGAUUACUGGGACACAGAAACGAGUCACCAACAUGCCGAGCACAACAAGAAGGAUUUAAAGAAAUUCUCCUUCAGAGGGACGACAGAGAGGAAGAAUGUGUGAGGAAGACGGCGGGCGAGAGAGGAAGGAGGGCGACUUCCUCCUGCAGCCGAACCGCCAUCUUGUUAACGCAAACAGAACGCCAACGUUCUGUAACGUUCUGUAUCCAGAAGAACGACUCAAAGACGGAUGGAGGCGGCCAUCUUUCUUUUACUGCAGGUCAGCUGCUUUGGCUGUGCAGACGGUUGCCUUGGCAACCCCUCUGGAAUUACUUUAUGUGUCCAGAUUAUCUCUGGUAUUAAUCUCUGAAUUUGUAUCAUUCUUGAACUGCAGUUGUGGGCCACACAAAACCAGGCCAAGGUCCACAAAUGGCCCCCAGGCCACACUUUGGACACCCUGUGCUCCUUUUAGUUGCAGAUUUUGUAUUUAAUUUGGGGGUAUCAGAGUUAAGACAUGCAGCACUUUAUAGAUUUUAUUAUAUUAAAAAUAGUUAUUCUGCUCUUUGUGUUGAUCUAGUUCAUAAAAUCCCAGUAAAACCUUCUAAGGUUUGGCGCUAACAUCACAAAAUGUAAAAAACUGCCUGAUAACCUUUUUUUUUUUACAUUAUCGGCUUUAUAAUAAUACAGAUUUAUCAACAAGAAGAAGACUGUGUGUUUAAUCCAGAGCAGGAUUAUUAAAGAUGUUUUUCAGGCUGACUCCUGGGUGGAGUCUUUAAAAUCCGGCCAGAUUUCCAGGAUCGGUUCCUGCUGGAGGAGAGUUCCUGAGUCACAGAAACCACAGCUAUGUGCCGGCCGGCCGUGGCUGCAGCACAUGGAUCCUCCCCUCGUCUGGAAGCUGUUGGAGUUUUCUACCAGAUGUGGGAGUCUGGUUUUCUUAAUGACACCCUGGUGCAUGCUGGGAGCGCUGAGAAGCCAGUCUUUGUGACGGAGCUGCAAAGAAAGCUGGACAGUGUUGAAAUGCAGCAGCUUUAAAUGUUUUCUAAUGUUCAGUUUUCUCCAUUUUUCCUUCAAAUCCAGAAGUAAUGAUUGGAAACUCCACAGUGAAUCAUCUGGGACACACAGAUCCACAUUCACAGCGUUCGCUUAAACAACAGGUGCCUCUGAGUUGGUCAUCCUCCAGAGAGAACCAGCCGUCCAGCUGUCGGCCACACAGCGGGUUACCGCGCUUAAACGCUUACUGAAACUGAGUUUUUUCUUACUCUUUGUUCUUUUAGACCAGGGGUGUCAAACUCCAGUCCUCAA